UGCCAGCCGCCGCGGUAACACGAACCGUCCAAACGUUAUUCGGUAUCACUGGGCGUAAAGCGCACGUAGGCGGACUUUUAAGUCAGGGGUGAAAUCCCGGAGCUCAACUCCGGAACUGCCUUUGAUACUGGAAGUCUUGAGUCCGAGAGAGGUGAGUGGAACUCCGAGUGUAGAGGUGAAAUUCGUAGAUAUUCGGAAGAACACCAGUGGCGAAGGCGGCUCACUGGCUCGGUACUGACGCUGAGGUGCGAAAGCGUGGGGAGCAAACAGGAUUAGAUA
rnacentral:rRNA from 1 species